CGCUUCCCAGGUGAGGCAAUGCCUCGCCCUGCUUCGGCUCGUGCACGUUGCGCACACCCACUGGCCUGCGCCCACUGUCUGGCACUCCCUAGUGAGAUGAACCCGGUACCUCAGAUGGAAAUGCAGAAAUCACCUGUCUUCUGCGUCGCUCACACUGGGAGCUGUAGACCGGAGCUGUUCCUAUUCGGCCAUCUUGGCUCCUCCUCUAUCUACACAUCUUUGAAAGAUGGCACCUUCUCACUGUGUCCUCAGAUGGCAGAGAAGAGGAAGCUAACUCUCUUGGGACUCUUAUUGGCAUGUAUUGAGUACCUGUAAUGGAUCAGACAUGGUGCUAGGCACUUGGGACACCAUGGUCAGCAAUUCCAAAGGGGGAUCUAUGGAAUAAAGAGAACUAACUCAUAUCACAGCCAUCUGGUGAGAAGUCCUAUACACAGCUCUGUUUUCUUCCUUUUCUCUCAUACGUCAUCUACCACUGACUUCCAGCUCCAUGAGCACUUUUCUGAGGCUGAGGCUUGCCAUGUGGAACUUUUUGCACAAAUACUGCCACUCGUCACUUACUGUGCCCACCAUGUUUGACACCGGCUUUCCUUAUCCAUGAAUGACUUAACACCAAGACUCAUUCACUCAGAAUGGUUGAGGCUCAGGUCUUCCUCUUCUCCACUGCUUUUGUCGAACGUGUUCAAAAGGAUUUGAAACCAACUAUUGGAGGAAGAAAAUCAAUCACUCUCCUUUGUCUCCUAUUGGGACCACUGCCCCACCCCCCCCAACAAAAGGAUAAAUUCCUGGAAAGUGUAAAGGGAAGAAAGCCCCUCCAUUGGGAAAUAGGUUGGUGUCAGGCUACUUGCUUGUCUGAUUCUUCACAAUGAUAAAGGCCAGCAGAGAAAGUUCAGUGCAAAAGUUCAUCAGCCACCAGGCCAUCAGGAGCAUCUAUUGAUCAAAUCAAAUGUUCACUUCAAACUGCGUUUCUUAACCUGCAGGUGUAGAAUCACCCAUAACAGAUACAGUCACACCUAUCUCUGCACAUACUUGUACGUUCAGGACAACCUGAUGUAUUACAAUUAACAACAUGGUGUCAGUACUGCAGAAGGAUUCACUUGUAUAAAAUAUCCACCAGAGAAAUCGCCUGGAAGUUACUUUCUAAUCUCCUUGACUCUUCCUCGGUACCUUGUGGAAUAGAUGUGGGCUGGGGUAUAGCUUCUGGAUGGUCAUAUAAAUUGAACAGAGGAUAAGUGGAGCCCUUUUUUCAUCUCUUCCAAAAUAUGAAACAUUGCACUGAUCUCGGUGGAAAUAAAUGCCAAAGAGGUAAGUGUUUCAAGAAAUGAAAGCCUUUUUUUAUCUAAAAUAAUUCAUUUGUGUCUUAUUUAUUUCAACAACAGCUUUAAGCUCCUAGAACACGCUGUGUCAAGCACUAUGCUAACCAGGUACAUUCAGAAAAGCCUGAUACAAUAUAAUAAAAUGCCCUCAAAUAAUUCAAAGCCCAAGUAUUUUGUAUGAGUCAAUGGAGAGAAAGGGCAGUCAUGGCAGCAAGAAAUGUAACUGAAUAUCUAAACUAUUGAGAAAUUGUGAUAUAAGGCCUUUCAUGGGUCCUGUGCUCCUGCCCAACUCUUACAUCUGCAAAGUUUAAAUGUAGAACUUGGGGUGAUUUUUCCACGGAGCACACAUGAUGUUUCCCCUAAAAUGAGAGAGGAUUUCUACCAACUAAAGAUAUUCUAAUUCCUACAUCAAAAGUUCAUUGAAACUUUUUUUUUUUUUUUUGAGACAGUCUUGCUCUGUCGCCCAGUCUGGAGUGCAAUGGCGGGAUCUCAGUUCAACCCAACCUCCGCCUCCCAGGUUCAAGGGAUUCUCUUGCCUCAGCCUCCCCAGUAGCUAUGAUUACAGGCACCCGCCACCAUGCCCAGCUAAUUUUUGUAUUCUUAGUAGAGACGGGGUUUCACCAUGUGGGUCUUGAACUCCUAAGCUCAGGUGAUCCACCCGCCUCGACCUCCCAAAGUGCUGGGAUUACAGGCGUGAGCCACCCAUUGAAACUUAAUAUGGAGGAAAGCACUGUGUUUGGGGUUGGAAGGAUAUAAAGGGAAUCAAGUAGGAUCUCUGCACUCUGGUAGUUUGAUGCCUUGUCCUCAUGGGAUUCACAGAGCAGUCAAGGAGACCAAAAUAAUUGCUCGCUAGAGGUAGAAACUUCACAUUUGGAAGCACAGAGAAUCAGGAAAACUCUAAAGUGGAAGCAAAAAGUUUCAGCUCAUUUUAAAAUUUGAUUCUAAUUUCGACGAGCGAUCGCUUGAGAUGGAAGUGACAUCCAUCCUGUCCUACAGGGCAGGCAGAUGCAGCUUGUUACAGGAGGCCAGCUUAAGAGAAGAUGAGAAUUGAUUUCCUUACAGAGCAAUGUUAACAAUUUUGCAACUUAAUUGUAAUUCUUAAAGUCAGAUCAUUUAAGAGCGGAGGAAAAGAUUUUUCUGGAGAAGAAGCUCAAUUUAAUAAAUCCUUUGCCGAGGGAUUUGCUCAAACUUUUGGUACUCACCCAAGCAUUUGUCUGAAAAGAGUUUUGUCUUCUCUCGCCAUUGUUGCAAGAUACUGGUAAGGAAAGCUGUUUGAACUUCCUCAAAACAUCAACAUUUAAUACUCCUUAAGUUUCCAACAGGAAAACGAGGUAAGUUAAUAUUUUCCCAUGUUGAUACAUAAUUGAAUUAGAGUUUUACUUAACUUAAUAAAUUGCCACCUGGGGUAAUAGAACCAUGAACAGCACUUAAUUUCAGGUCUGCAUUAACUGUGCUUUCUCACUGCCCCGGUCUGAGUGCCUGUUACCACGGCUCCCAAAGGCAUCAGGGUUCUCCCAGCCUUCCAAUCACUGCUGCUAUCCAACUUUGGCCACCAUUUGGAGAGCAGGUUGGAAACAGGAUGGGCAAGAUUGAACAGGAGGAAGGCCAUGCUCCCAUGCAUGUGAAAAGACCAUGGACACACACAAAAGCACACUCAACUGCAUCUUGAUACCUCCCAAAAGCAAACUCCUGCAGAGAACUUCAGGAUGAACAUAUGUUUGCUUCAUUACGGAGCUUAGGAUAUUCUAUACCUAUCUGAACUUCUGAACUAUACAGAUCAGUUAGACGGCUUCAAAUCAUCAUGGUGCUUUUUUAGGAAUUCCAAAUUACUGAUGCUAUAAGGAUUCUGCCAUAUUCUCAUUCCCUUUCUCAUUCCCAAGGGUCCUGAGAAAUUAUGCAUUUGGGUCAUUCCCAAAAUGCAUGAUUUCUCAGGACCCUUGGGAAUCACCAUUGUUAUUUUUUGGGAAUCCUAAAUUACUGAUGCUAUAAGGGUCCUGAGAAAUCAUGCGUUCUACUAGUUUUUAAUUUGGGCAUGGGAGAAAGGUAUUUGAGCACAUAAUGAAAGCCAGAGGCCCUUUCUCUAGUUAACAGUUGUAUAUACACAUACACAAGCAAAGGAGCAAAAUUUUGUGUACAAAUCUCAAAUCUCCCAGAUCUCCUGAAGUCCACCCAUGAUUAUCCUGGUGGGGCAUGAACCCCAGCUGAGAUCAUGUGAUCUAACCAACCCCAUAUUUUUUUAAAUUAAAAAAAUUAAAAACCUGAAGUCCAAAAGGAUUCCAGCAAGAUUAAGUAACUUGCUCAACAAAACACAUUUGUCAACUGGGAACGAAACCCAUAUCAUCUGACUCCUAGUUAAAUUCUAUUUCCCCUAGUAACUUGUUUUUCUGUCUUCCAUUGUCUUCGUGGUAAAACAGGAUGUUACUUGCCUACUUCAUGGGAUUCUUAGAUGGAAUAUUUACUAAAACUUUUGCACAUCAUAAAUAUUUGGGCCAGACAUAGUGGCUUACACCUGUAAUCUCAGCACUUUGGGAGGCCAAAAAAUAGGAGGAUUACUUGAUUCCAGGAGUUUGAGACCAGCCUUGGCAACAUGGUGAAACCGCAUCUCUACAAUACAAAAAUUAGCUGGGUGUGGUGGCACAAGCCUGUAGUCUCGGCUACCCAGGAGACUGAGGCGGGAGGAUCAUCUGAGCCCAGGAGGCAGAGGUUGCAGUGAGCAGAGAUCGCACCACUGUACUCCAGUGCACUCCAGCUCAGGCAACAGAGUGAGACCCUGUCUCAAAAAAUAAUUAAUUAAUUAAUAUUUGCAAGUAAUUCCUCCCCACAAAACUUGAAUGUUUGUCAUUAUUUGCAUGAUAUUAAUAACAGCUACCCUCAUUACAGAUGAAUUAGGCAAAUCAUCUUUUUUAAAAAAAAAAAAAACCUUGUAGUGUUAUUAUUACUAGGCAAAUAGUCGUUAGUAUACAACAGUUCUUACAUUGUGUACUCAGAUUUGGUUAUGAUAAACUCAACACAGCUACAGCCUAAAUGAAUUUAUAUAAAACACUGACAGAGGCUAAAGUUAUUAUAGCUUUAGUCCCAUUUCUAUUUAGAAGAGUGUAGAAAUAUUUUUCCUCAGGAGAAAAAAAAUGAAAUGUAGACAUGAUUUGGGGUUUGGGGGGUGUUUCGUGUUUGGUUUUCCCAGGUGCCCCAAAUUAAACUAACUCACACUUUCUGGCUAUCACUCAAACUGAGUUGACUUGGCUACUGCUUUCCCAGAUCCUCUAAAAACUAAAGGAUUUUCUUCUGGCAUUUUAAUCAGUGAUUAACUACUCCCUUCUUUUUCCUGCUGGGUUAAGUAAAAGAUCCAUAUGCUGGGUGUUCUAGGGAAUUUGUUAGGCUAUAGAUCACAGCCGUGGUGCCAGCCAUGAUGUGUCUCAAGGGAACUAAAGAAGCCAUAAGGAAUGUCAAGAGUCACCGGGUUAAAGCCACAUUAAGACAGCUGUUACGUUAAUGAAGGCCCUGCUUCGAAGAGGAGGUCACUAUAUGGAAAAGUAUGAACUACUGUUUAUUGGUUUGAUCCCAUGUCCUCUGAAAGUUAAUGGGCCAUUAUUAUUAUCCUUUGACAUUCAUUGAGCCAGAUGAGAAUGCUGGGUGCUGUACAAGCUACAUGGGUUUGAAAUAUAUUCUGUCUCCAUCCUUAGUUUUGACAAAGGCAGGAAUGAAAGAGAACAACACCGAACACUCCUCAGUUUUCCAUCACACUCCUUGUCUGAUCUAUUUACAAUAAAUGUUUAUUUUUCCUUACUCACAUUGAGUUCAGAGCUGAUACUCGGCCUAUUUUAAAAAUAGAUCUAGUGCCAGUGGCUCACACCUGUAAUCUCAACACUUUGAGACGCUGAGGAGGGAGGAUCACUUGAGUCCAGGAGCUCAAGACCAACCUGAGCAACAUAGCAAGACCCCAGCUCUACAAAAAAAUAGAAAAAUAAUUAGCCAGACAUGGUGGCACACAUCUGUAGACCCAGCUACUCUGGAAGCUGAGGUGGAAGAAUCACUUGAGCUUGGAAGAUCGAGGCUACACAGUGAGCCAUGAUUAAGCCACUGUACUACAGGCUGGGCAACAAAGUGAGACUCUGUCUCAAAAAACAAACAAACAAACAAACAAAAAAGCAGAUCUAGUAGGUGGGCUUGGCCAGUUACAGAGGACAGGUACCAAAUCCUGGAAUAUAGUGGCCACUCAAAAGAGGCAUGAUUGGACCUCACAUAACAUUUGCAGGUAAUUGCAGAACUAUAAUAAAAGCAAAGUAGAUUUGAAACAUAUUAUUUAUAACAUUGUUAUAUAUAAUAUACUAUUAUAUGAUUUAAUUUGUCUGCCCUUUUGAUUGUGAUACAGAUUUUUUCUCUGCACUGUUAUAUUAAUAUGCAUGUUAAUAUCAUAACAUUGAUAUAGUAAUAUUAAUGUUAUGUUAAUAUAAUAUUUAUAUAGUAUUAUAUAAUAUUACUAUAUCAAUACUGUAUUAAAAUAUUUUUCUAUUGAAAUAUUAUGACUUAGUUAAUAAAGGUUAUUUCUACACUGUGUGGUGGGGAGAAACACUCUGUUUCCCAAUGAUAAUAGGUUUCCCAACUUUAAAACACCAGCUCUGUGAACCUUGGUCUAUCUACAACUCUUCCUUUCACUCACCUUCCUCCCCACUUCUAGAUUACACAAUCGGUUGUCCAUUCUACCUCUGAAUACCUUCACCACCAUCUCUUCCUUGCCAUUCCCACUGCCACUACCUAUCUCAUGCCAUAGCCCCCACUCCCUGUCACAUCAAAUGUGAGCUCACUGGCCUGAAACCCAAGACCUCCAUAGGAUAUCCUCAGCCUACCUACCAAACCCUAUUUCUUCCACCACCCUACCACUCCUUACAUUCUAAUCAAACUAACUAUUCUCCCAAUAUGACUAGAGUGAAAAAGAAAGGUUAUCUUACGUGUAGCCCACCACUUCUACCUCUCUGUGCCUCUGCUCAUAUAAUUCCCUAUUACUAAUAUACUCUCCUUAUGCACCUGGUCCAGUGAAUAUCUAUCUAGCCCGGAAAGUUCAUCUUAAAUCUGCCCUCUGGGCCCAGCACAAUGGCUCAUGCCUAUAAUCCCAGCACUUUGGGAAGCCAAGGCAAGUGGAUCGCUUGCACCUGGGAGUUCAAGAAGAGCCUGGGCAACAUGGCAAAAUCCCAUCUCUUCAAAAAAUUAUCCAGGCAUAGUGGCAUGCACCUGUAGCCCCAACUAUCUGGGAGGCUGAGGUGGGAGGAUCACCUGAGCUCAGGAGGUGUAGGCUUCAGUGAGCUGUGAUUGUACCACUGUACUCCAACCUGGGCUACAGAAUGAGACCCUGUCUCAAAAAAAAAAAAAAUUAAAUCUGCCUUCUUCAUGUACCUCUCUUCAUUCCUUCAAGAUCUCAUCCCUUGAGUUCAUGUCCUUUGCAGGGACAUGGAUGAACCUGGAAACCAUCAUUCUCAGUAAACUAACACAGGAACAGAAAACCAAACACUGCAUGUUCUCACUCAUGAGUGAGAGUUGAACAAUGAGAACACAUGGACACAGGGAGGGGAAAAUCACACACCAGGGCCUGUUGGGGGGUGGGGGGCUAGGGGAGGGAUAGCAUUAGGAGAAAUACCUAAUGUAGAUGACGGGUUGAUGGGUGCAGCAAACCACCAUGGCACGUGUUAUACCUAUGUAACAAACCUGCCCCUUCUGCACAUAUAUCCCAGAACUUAAAGUAUAAUUUUUUAAAAAAAGGUUGGGCAUGGUGGCUCAUACCUGUAAUCCCAGCACUUUGGGAGGCCAAGGCGGCCAGAUCACGAGGUCAGGAGUUCGAGACCAGCCUGACCAACAUGGUGAAACCCCAUCUCUACUAAAAAUACAAAAAUGAGCCGGGCCUGGUGGCAAGCACCUGUAAUCCCAGCUACUUGGGAGACUGAGUCAGGAGAAUCGCUUGAACCCAGGAGGCAGAGGUUGCAGUGAGCUGAGGUUGUACCACUGCACUCCAGCCUGGGUGACAGAGUGAGACUCCACCUCAAAAAAAAAAAAAAAAAAAAAUCUCAUCCUUUCCUCUUCUCAACUCCCAUUGCACUUUUUCUCUUUCUGCACUUAUCAUGUCUGUGUUAUUUUUAAAUUAUUUGUAUGUUUAUUUUUUUACCUUUCUUAGAUUGCAACUCCUUCAGAGAACUGUCUUAAUUGAUCUUAGCAUUCCUUGACUUUCCUAGCACUAUGAUGAUCAUAUGGAAGUUUGAAGAAAACAAUCUCUCUGACUGAGCUCUGCAGCCUGGAAGAGGCUAUUUCUGUAAAAUUCUGUAAUAGGAGAGUUAAUUAGCUGCAUCUAUGAACGUGUUGAUCAAUCUAGGGACCAUGUCAACUGACUAGUCCACUGCUGAGUCCCCAGCCUGCAAAUUAAGAAUCUGGAAAUAACACACAAUAUUUGCAGACAAGGUGACUUAACUUCUAGGGUGGUGAGGAGUUCGAGGAUACCCUACGAUAUCUGCCAUCUUUCAAACACUGUUUUACUAGCUCCAGGAAGUAGUUCUUCAUUAAUGAUGAAAACAUUAUUCUAUACUCUAUAGAAACAUAUUACAUCUAAGUAGCCUUUCCAGAAGGUUCAGAGCACCUCUAAGAGUUCAAAAGAUAAUUCAACAUGUUCUUUAAGUAAUAUAAUUUCUUGAAAUGCUUCUUAAUUAUAAAAUCGUUAAAUGAAGGAAUUUCAUGUUAUGCACCUUUGCACAUUUUCAUAAUUGAAAGGUCACAGAGAUGAAGCGUAUGGGAUCCAAUUAUCUCUAGACUCACUUUGCAGCUAUGCCACCUUGGGUAGUUACUUAUAUAGUCCAAGUCUCAGUUUCCUUAUUUGUAAAUGGAGAGUAGCAAUCAUGGUACCCACCUAGGAUUUUAAUAAUGAUUCAAUGGGUUAAUUCAUGUGAAGCACUUAAAAUAGUGGCUGGGACAGAGUAACCACUCAAAAUUUAUUUGCUCUUACUUGUGUAUCACCCCCAAAGUCCAUAUAGUGCUGGUGUACAAUAAGGAUUCCUGAAAAGUUGAGUUAGUCACAUGAAGUGGUGGACUUCUGUGUGUCGUAAAUGAUAUAGUUGUAUUCUGUCAGUAAAUAAUCAAAGUCCUAACAAUAUGCAUCCCUAGUAAAGGGCCAUUCCUAAUACAUUUUUGGGGGGGAUUGACAUAUGUUUUAGAUGAGAAGAUGCUUGUUUGUUUCCUGUCUGGACUGAAGUAGGACACGGAG
rnacentral:lncRNA from 10 species